UACGGGGGAUGCAAGCGUUAUCCGGAAUCACUGGGCGUAAAGAGUCUGUAGGUGGCUUGACAAGUCUGUUGUUAAAUAUUAAAGCUUAACUUUAAACAAGCGAUAGAAACUGUCAUGCUAGAGUAUGGUAGGGGUAGAGGGAAUUCCCAGUGUAGCGGUGAAAUGCGUAGAUAUUGGGAAGAACACCAGUGGCGAAGGCGCUCUACUGGGCCAUUACUGACACUCAGAGACGAAAGCUAAGGUAGCGAAUGGG
rnacentral:rRNA from 1 species